ACAGUUCAGAUGUUACUCUCAUAAAGUUGAAUCCGUACCUAGAAAUUCAACUGGUAGUAUUGGUUUAGGAUCUGAAUUUGAUUCAGAGGUAAUAAAUAAAUGUCUUAAACAAGAUAGGAUAUCACAGAAAACAAGCAAAUACCUUAAAAGAACAAAGUGUAAAAAACUGAACUCAUUGAAGAAUGAUUUAAAAAAUAAUCAUUCAUUGUUGACUUCAACAGUAAAAUGUAAUAAAAUCAGUACUGCCUCAAAAAGUAUUAAAGGCAAUUUAAGUGUCAAGAAAACAAAGAUUUGUAAAAGCAGAACUAAAUCAAAAUGUACAAUCUGGGAUUUGACUCCAAGAAUCAUGCUAAAAGAUAAACUAAUAGAGAGGAUACUUAAAGAAGACCCAAAUUUCUCAAUGCACUGCCCAGAAUAUAAUAACUGAUUUUAAUUCUUGACAAAGCCUUUAUAAAAUAAUUUCUACCUAAAAAUAAUUGAGGUUAGUGGACAAGAAAAGCUGGUGAAAAGUCAUGGCAUGUAACAUCUCGAAGAACCAAGUAAAGUUCCAGAGUACAAAACAUUGACAUUUAUAAAAGAUGAAGAACCGAAAAAUUGUGUUCCAUAAAUGUUUCUGGUGAUUUUUAGGAAGUAAGAUGUUAGUAAUGUUCUGAUUUAAGAAAGAAAAUUGUACAUUAAAGCCAAUUUGUUUGCAAAUCAAUAAUAUGAAACUCUGUUUUAGAAGUAAUAAUUCUUCUUAAUGUUAAUAUUUUUUAAAUGUAAGAUUGUUAUUUCUAUAUUUUUAAUUUUUUGUUUUCAGAAACAAAUAAAAGUUUUAUUUUGCAA